rnacentral:rRNA from 1 species
GAUGAACGCUGGCGGCGUGCCUAAUACAUGCAAGUCGAGCGAAUGGAUUAAGAGCUUGCUCUUAUGAAGUUAGCGGCGGACGGGUGAGUAACACGUGGGUAACCUGCCCAUAAGACUGGGAUAACUCCGGGAAACCGGGGCUAAUACCGGAUAACAUUUUGAACCGCAUGGUUCGAAAUUGAAAGGCGGCUUCGGCUGUCACUUAUGGAUGGACCCGCGUCGCAUUAGCUAGUUGGUGAGGUAACGGCUCACCAAGGCAACGAUGCGUAGCCGACCUGAGAGGGUGAUCGGCCACACUGGGACUGGGACACGGCCCAGACUCCUACGGGAGGCAGCAGUAGGGAAUCUUCCGCAAUGGACGAAAGUCUGACGGAGCAACGCCGCGUGAGUGAUGAAGGCUUUCGGGUCGUAAAACUCUGUUGUUAGGGAAGAACAAGUGCUAGUUGAAUAAGUUGGCACCUUGACGGUACCUAACCAGAAAGCCACGGCUAACUACGUGCCAGCCGCCGCGGUAC